rnacentral:rRNA from 1 species
GAUGAACGCUGGCGGCGUGCUUAACACAUGCAAGUCGAACGAUGAAGCCCAGCUUGCUGGGUGGAUUAGUGGCGAACGGGUGAGUAACACGUGAGUAACCUGCCCUUAACUCUGGGAUAAGCCUUGGAAACUGGGUCUAAUACCUGAUAGGAGCGUCCACCGCAUGGUGGGUGUUGGAAAGAUUUAUCGGUUUUGGAUGGACUCGCGGCCUAUCAGCUUGUUGGUGGGGUAAUGGCUCACCAAGGCGACGACGGGUAGCCGGCCUGAGAGGGUGACCGGCCACACUGGGACUGAGACACGGCCCAGACUCCUACGGGAGGCAGCAGUGGGGAAUAUUGCACAAUGGGCGCAAGCCUGAUGCAGCGACGCCGCGUGAGGGAUGACGGCCUUCGGGUUGUAAACCGCUUUCAGUAGGGAAGAAGCGAAAGUGACGGUACCUGCAGAAGAAGCACCGGCUAACUACGUG